ACGGAAGUCCUCGUUCCCGCGGCGAAGUGGCGAGAUUUUGUGAGGUGGCCUCCUCUCAGGCGGGCUGCGGACGGCCGGUAGAGCGCCGGAGGAAGGGAGGAGGAGAGGAUUUGGCCGAGCGUCGAGCAGCGGCGGACUGGACAGCCAUCUUCAAAGCCGAGAGCGCCGGGCUCGCUCCUAAUUCUCGUUAGCUUGGGGAGGAGAAAACAAUGGCCGAGGCAAAACUCCCAGAGAAGAUCAUCAUUGGCGGGCUUAGUAAAGAAAUCAAAGAGAAAACCCUUAAAGACAUAUUUGUGAAAUACAGGCAAGUAGUGGAAGUCAUUCUGAGGAAAGAUCAUGAAACCAGCAAACUACGAAGACGACGUACGGGAAAUGCGAACGGAAAGCCCUCAGACGGAAGAGCUGGAGUGGAGCCAGGGAAAGCCAGCAGAGUGUCCUACGCCACCAAACAAGCCUUGCUGAAUGAGAGACUUAGACCGCCUCCUCCCACAAAAUGCACGGUUCCGCCCAGAGGUGGACGAGGAGGAAGAGGCAGAAACGGAGGAAAUAAGAGGCUUCCCCCACACGCGGCAGAUGGUACCUCCUCCAUAAAGUUUUAAGAUGCGUUCUCCAAGGGGGCGGUUUAAGAGCCACAACCGUGAGGUGGGCUUGUUCUCCUAAGAGAUCAAUGUCCCCUGUGUCCUGUUGCAAGAGGUAGUUAUGGAAGCCCAACACCAAGAAACCCACCAUAUUACAGAGACUUUUGUUUGCUUCAAGUCGACUGCAGUCCACUAAAGGCGGCUAUUCAGCAGACCACCCAAGUUCUAGGGAUACAAGGAUUUUACACUACUACCAAAAGGCUACACUGUGCUCGUUAUGUGGUGAUUUCUGUCCAUCAAGAGGUCAUGGUGGUCACGUUUGCAGUGGUGACUGUUUAGAUCAUCUCAGGUGGGGUUUACUACCGCUGUUCUGUGAGAGCAGUGUUUCCUGAGCCAGUGUCCUGCCUGCAUGAAGGGACCCGCUGUAACAUCAUAAUUGUCACCAUUGCCUUGGAAUACAAGAACUUGGUCUUUCCCCUUGUUUGGAAAUGAGGUGCCCUCAUGAUCCCUACAGCAAUGCAAGCCACACAGCACCAAGAUGUGGUGACAGUGGAGGAAGCCAGCCUGAUAGAGGGGGAGACAGAAGCACAUCCUAGAAAUCCAUAGAAACUUGGGCCAAAAUCACCAAAUGAACAAGAUAGAAAUAAUUCAUAACUACCAAGGAUUAGUAGGAGUUCUGUUGACUUUUAAGCUUUCCAGUUAGGUACUCUAUGGCUUUUAUGUUUUGUGAGGGAAAAAAGAAAAUUUUAAUUUUGAUAGGUGAGUUGUCUCAGCAGGAAAAUGUUAAGUGUGUUAAGUCCUGUAAGUUUCUAAAUAAAAGCAUUCCUAAAAACUA